rnacentral:rRNA from 1 species
AGCGAACGCUGGCGGCAGGCCUAACACAUGCAAGUCGAACGAACCUUUCGGGGUUAGUGGCGGACGGGUGAGUAACACGUGGGAACGUGCCUUUAGGUUCGGAAUAACUCAGGGAAACUUGUGCUAAUACCGAAUGUGCCCUUCGGGGGAAAGAUUUAUCGCCUUUAGAGCGGCCCGCGUCUGAUUAGCUAGUUGGUUGAGGUAAUGGCUCACCAAGGCGACGAUCAGUAGCUGGUCUGAGAGGAUGAGCAGCCACAUUGGGACUGAGACACGGCCCAAACUCCUACGGGAGGCAGCAGUGGGGAAUCUAGCGCAAUGGGCGAAAGCCUGACGCAGCCAUGCCGCGUGAAUGAUGAAGGUCUUAGGAUUGUAAAAUUCUUUCACCGGGGACGAUAAUGACGGUACCCGGAGAAGAAGCCCCGGCUAACUUCGUG